UACAUAGGGUGCAAGCGUUGUCCGGAAUUAUUGGGCGUAAAGAGCUCGUAGGCGGUUUGUCGCGUCUGCUGUGAAAACUCGGGGCUUAACCCCGGGCCUGCAGUGGGUACGGGCAGACUAGAGUGCGGUAGGGGAGACUGGAAUUCCUGGUGUAGCGGUGGAAUGCGCAGAUAUCAGGAGGAACACCGAUGGCGAAGGCAGAUCUCUGGGCCGUAACUGACGCUGGAGGAGCGAAGCAUGGGGAGCGAACAGG
rnacentral:rRNA from 1 species